rnacentral:lncRNA from 1 species
CCGUAUAAGACUGGGAACGUCGGAUCGAGGAUCUGUCGUAGGUGCCUAGGGAGAGGCAUGAAAUCUGAUGUUAUGGUAAGGGGCAAAGGCGAAGACGAGCAGCGUGCUGAUUCGCGUGGAGAACUCCAAGACGAGGGACGUUUGGAGUCUAACCCCUAAGUCCAAGGUCGAUGGAUGUAUGACCUUGAAUCCCAGAGAGGGGAAGUUUAGUCGGAGGACUAUUUCCUUGAGAAGGAGUUAUAAGGUUGGCUACUGGACUCGUGGAACUUUGGUUAAGUCAGGACGAAGUGGGCGUUGAGGCCGAGUAGCUCCGAUGGAGAGAACCAAGUUAAGGAAGAGUGCCAGUACAAUCUUGCAAUCCGAGGGAUUANCCUGAUGUUAUGGUGAGGGGCAAAGGCGAAGACGAGCAGCGUGCUGAUUCGCGUGGGGAACUCCAAGACGAGGGACGUUUGGAGUCUAACCCCUAAGUCCAAGGUCGAGGGAUAUAUGACCCUGAAUUCCAGAGGGGAAGUUUAGUUGGAGGACUAUUUCCUUGAGAAGGAGUUAUAAGGUUGGCUACUGGACUCGUGGAACUUUGGUUAAGUCAGGGCGAAGUGGGCGUUAAGGCCGAGUAGCUCCGAUGGAGAGAACCAAGUUAUGGAGGAGUGCCAGUACAAUCUUGCAAUCUGAGGGAUUAUGAGUUUUAAGUUCUGGUUUCGUGGAGGAGUUAGUGUGGUGCGAGCGAGGCACCAAGGCUGGGGAGCUCUAACUCAGGGAGGGACAGA